rnacentral:rRNA from 1 species
CCUACGGGUGGCAGCAGUGGGGAAUAUUGGGCAAUGGGCGCAAGCCUGACCCAGCCACGCCGCGUGAAGGAAGAAGGCUCUCGGGUUGUAAACUUCUUUUUAGCGGGAAGCGCAGAAGACGGUACCUCUUGCCUAAGCCACGGCUAACUACGGGCCAGCAGCCGCGGCAAUACGUAGGUGGCAAGCGUUUUCCGGAUUUACUGGGUGUAAAGGGCGUGCAGGCGGGAAGACAAGUCAGAUGUGAAAUCCCGCGGCUCAACCGCGGAACGGCAUUUGAAACUGUGUUUCUUGAGUACCGGAGAGGUCAUCGGAAUGCCUUGUGUAGCGGUGAAAUGCGUAGAUAUAAGGAAGAACACCAGUGGCGAAGGCGGAGGACUGGACGGCAACUGACGGUGAGGCGCGAAAGCGUGGGGAGCAAACAGGAUUAGAUACCCGUGUAGUC